rnacentral:rRNA from 1 species
AGCGAACGCUGGCGGCAGGCCUAAUACAUGCAAGUCGAACGGCUCUUCGGAGCAGUGGCGGACGGGUGAGUAACGCGUGGGAAUGUGCCCUUAGGUACGGAACAACACAGGGAAACUUGUGCUAAUACCGUAUGUGCCCUUCGGGGGAAAGAUUUAUCGCCUUUGGAGCAGCCCGCGCUGGAUUAGCUAGUUGGUGAGGUAAUGGCUGACCAAGGCGACGAUCCAUAGCUGGUCUGAGAGGAUGACCAGCCACACUGGGACUGAGACACGGCCCAGACUCCUACGGGAGGCAGCAGUAGGGAAUCUUGCGCAAUGGGCGAAAGCCUGACGCAGCCAUGCCGCGUGUAUGAUGAAGGUCUUAGGAUUGUAAAAUACUUUCACCGGGGAAGAUAAUGACGGUACCCGGAGAAGAAGCCCCGGCUAACUUCGUGCCAGCAGCCGCCGUAAAAC